UACGGAGGGAGCUAGCGUUGUUCGGAAUUACUGGGCGUAAAGCGCACGUAGGCGGCUUUGUAAGUUAGAGGUGAUAGCCUGGAGCUCAACUCCAGAAUUGCCUUUAAGACUGCAUCGCUUGAAUCCAGGAGAGGUGAGUGGAAUUCCGAGUGUAGAGGUGAAAUUCGUAGAUAUUCGGAAGAACACCAGUGGCGAAGGCGUCUCACUGGACUGGUAUUGACGCUGAGGUGCGAAAGCGUGGGGAGCAAACAGGAUUAGAUA
rnacentral:rRNA from 1 species